rnacentral:rRNA from 1 species
AUUGAACGCUGGCGGCAUGCCUUACACAUGCAAGUCGAACGGCAGCACGGGAGCAAUCCUGGUGGCGAGUGGCGAACGGGUGAGUAAUAUAUCGGAACGUGCCCAGUCGUGGGGGAUAACGUAGCGAAAGCUACGCUAAUACCGCAUACGAUCCAUGGAUGAAAGCGGGGGGUCGCAAGACCUCGCGCGAUUGGAGAGGCCGAUAUCAGAUUAGGUAGUUGGUGAGGUAAAGGCUCACCAAGCCGACGAUCUGUAGCUGGUCUGAGAGGACGACCAGCCACACUGGGACUGAGACACGGCCCAGACUCCUACGGGAGGCAGCAGUGGGGAAUUUUGGACAAUGGGCGCAAGCCUGAUCCAGCAAUGCCGCGUGCAGGAUGAAGGCCUUCGGGUUGUAAACUGCUUUUGUACGGAACGAAACGGCGAGCUCUAAUACAGUUUGCUAAUGACGGUACCGUAAGAAUAAGCACCGGCUAACUACGUGCCAGCAGCCGCGGUAA